GGUCCAAUGGCUCAGUGGCAGAGUAGUCAUCUCUUAACUGAAAGGUCCUUGGUUCUAAACCAAGUUGAAGCA
rnacentral:tRNA from 1 species